rnacentral:snRNA from 1 species
AUCCUCUGGUUUCUCGUCAUAACGAAUAAGUCUUUCACCUUUUACUAAAGAUUUCCAUGGAGAGGAACAAUUAUGAGUUUAAAACCAAAUUUUUUGAUGUCCUGCUUAUGCAGGGCU